UCUGCUAUCUAUGAGAAACUGUGGGCAGUUCUACAAAGCACUGCUGUGUGAAGUAAGUAGAGAAAAACACAAUCUUUCAUGGUUGAACUCCGUGAAGUUAAGACUGUAUAAGGAACAAGAUAACUGUCUGCAAAUCAGAGGAAACUUCUCUGUGGACCAGCACAGGCUCACAGAUUGAUUUUUAGGAAAGACCUAAUCUGGUCCAAGCCUUCACUUUACAGGAGGAAAAUCAGUGUUUGGCACACACUUCAGGGGGAGAGAGAGAGCUCCGUUGAUGAAAAAAGGAGACUUGAACCUUGAAGCCUAGCAUAUUUAUGGUGUAUAUGUGAUAUUUUGGUACAUGUAUUAAAGUUCAUUGUUUUUUCUCCUUGGGAGGUUGAGGUGGGAGGAUUGCUUGAGCCCAGGAGUUUUGAAGUUACAGUGAGCUGUGAUUGUGCUGCAGCUUUCCAGCUUAGGUGACAGUGUGAGACUCUGUCUCAUAAAAAGAAAAGAAAGGCCGAGUGUGGCGGCUCACACCUGUAAUCGCAGCGCUUUGGGAGGGUGAGGCAGGAGGAUUGCUUGAGCCCAGGAGUUUGAGACCAGCCUGGGCAACAUGAAACCCUGCCUCUAAAAAAAA
rnacentral:lncRNA from 1 species